rnacentral:misc_RNA from 1 species
GUAAAGUUACCCCUCUUCAUUAUAUGAUAAGAGUUGAUUUUGAAAACUAGUAAUGUUUCUGGUAAAGGUAUGAGGUUAAGUUAAUACCAAUUUGGGUUUACUAUGAUCCUUUUACUAUGUGAAUUAAGUAAGCUAGUAACACUGGUAACUAACCCUAAUUUUGAGUAAGAAUGACUCUUGAAUGUCUGUUACAUGUUUGUGGACCAACUGGGAU